rnacentral:rRNA from 2 species
GAGUUUGAUCUUGGCUCAGAACGAACGCUGGCGGCAGGCCUAACACAUGCAAGUCGAACGCUCUAGCAAUAGAGAGUGGCAGACGGGUGAGUAACGCGUGGGAACCUUCCCAAUGGUGCGGAAUAGCCCAGGGAAACUUGGGGUAAUACCGCAUAAGCCCUUAGGGGGAAAGAUUUAUCGCCAUUGGAUGGGCCCGCGUCGGAUUAGCUAGUUGGUGAGGUAAUGGCUCACCAAGGCAACGAUCCGUAGCUGGUUUGAGAGAAUGACCAGCCACACUGGGACUGAGACACGGCCCAGACUCCUACGGGAGGCAGCAGUGGGGAAUCUUGGACAAUGGGCGCAAGCCUGAUCCAGCCAUGCCGCGUGAGUGACGAAGGCCUUAGGGUUGUAAAGCUCUUUUGCCGGGAACGAUAAUGACGGUACCCGGAGAAUAAGUCCCGGCUAACUUCGUGCCAGCAGCCGCCGCAGU